AUGGAUUGCGGCACGGCCUCGCUCGGCGCCUUGCUCGCCGCCGCGCCGCUCCCCAGCCAGCGGCCCCGGCUGCUGCUCUUCUCGCCGCCGCCGUCGACGCUGUCCAUUCAGAUUCGGAAUCGACUUUAUUCGAUGUCACUGCUUCGGCUCCGAAAGGCCCGAGGCAUGGGAAGAUGCGAGGCUUCUCUAGCAAGUAACUACACGCAGACAUCAGAGUUUGCUGAUUUGGAUUGGGAGAACCUUGGUUUUGGACUCGUGCAAACUGACUAUAUGUAUACUACAAAAUGUGGGCCAGAUGGGAACUUUGACAAGGGUGGAAUGGUGCCGUUUGGGCCAAUAGAAAUGAACCCAGCAUCCGGAGUCCUGAAUUAUGGACAGGGGUUGUUCGAAGGCCUAAAGGCGUAUAGAAAAACUGAUGGCUCCAUCCUGUUGUUUCGCCCAAUGGAAAAUGCAAUGAGGAUGCAAACUGGUGCCGAGAGGAUGUGCAUGCCUGCACCUCCUGUCGAGCAAUUUGUGGAUGCAGUAAAACAAACCGUUUUAGCAAACAAGAGAUGGGUGCCUCCUACCGGUAAAGGUUCUUUGUACAUUAGGCCUCUACUCGUGGGAAGUGGGGCUGUUCUUGGUCUCGCACCUGCUCCUGAGUACACAUUCCUUAUUUUUGCCUCCCCUGUUGGGAACUACUUCAAGGAAGGAUUAGCGCCAAUAAAUUUGAUAGUUGAAGACAAGUUUCAUCGGGCCACCCCUGGUGGAACUGGAGGUGUUAAGACCAUUGGGAAUUAUGCCUCGGUCUUGAUGGCACAGAAGAUUGCAAAGGAGAAAGGUUAUUCUGAUGUUCUCUACUUGGAUGCUGUUGAGAAAAAGUAUCUUGAAGAAGUAUCUUCAUGUAAUAUUUUUGUUGUGAAGGGCAAUGUUAUUUCAACUCCAGCAAUAAAAGGAACAAUAUUGCCGGGCAUCACAAGGAAAAGUAUAAUUGAUGUUGCUCUGAGCAAAGGCUUCCAGGUCGAGGAGCGGCUUGUGUCGGUGGAUGAGUUGCUCGAUGCCGACGAAGUGUUCUGCACAGGGACCGCCGUCGUAGUGUCUCCCGUAGGUAGCAUUACAUAUCAAGGGAAAAGGAUAGAGUAUGCUGGCAAGCAAGGAGUCGGCGCGGUGUCUCGGCAACUGUACACCUCGCUAACAAGCCUCCAGAUGGGCCAGGUGGAGGACCCCAUGGGCUGGACCGUGCAACUGAACUAA
rnacentral:rRNA from 1 species